rnacentral:lncRNA from 1 species
CAAAGCAGGCAGCAAACGAUUUCAGUUCAGCGCAGGGACGCGCAGCCUGCGCAGGCCACCGUCUCGGUGGGGUGAGGUGAAGGCCUCCCAGCCCACACCUGGCGAGGGGUGACAGCCUGGGAAAUGUCCCCGCAGUGUCCACGCUGGCCCCCGCGGGGACAGCUGGCAUUCACCGACAGGACGAGCAGGGGCUGGGGCGAUGCCACAGCCCACCUGGAUGCUCGGCUGGCCCAGAAGAGCUUUUCUGGACACCCACAUUGUGUUGGGGGGGGUGUUGCCGCUGUACAGCCCUGUGCUGCUUGUGCCAGGCAGUGGGGCACAUCCUGCUGCGGUCUGGCCCCGCGAGCAUCCUCCCCUAACGACCCCGCUUCGUUCGUUACAGUUCAUCGUGAUCAGCUCCCUCCUGGAGCAGCCACCUCUGACGCUCUUCGACUACCAGUACCCCGAGUGGAGCAUCUCGGUGGGGUCCCUCAUCGGAGCCUCGUCCUUCGUCUGCAUCCCCGUCUACAUGGUGUACAAGCUCGUCUGGACACCGGGGUCCCUCAAGCAGCGCCUCGCCGUCUGCAUUCGGCCAGAGAAAACAACGCGAGGCCCCCAAGCCGAGGCGGUGUGCAUGUCACCCGCCCCGUAGCCUGGUGGUGGCACAUCCCUGGGGGACCCUUCCUGCUCCUGCCCCACCAGAGCAGCAGGACAGGCAGAAGAGAAGCUGCCGUCACCCUCCCCACAGCAAACCGCCCCUCGCGUCUCCCCCGGCGGCUGCACGUGCCGGCGGCAGCUCCAUCGAGUCCGACGAGCGUCUCGAUGGAAGCGGCACGGCCAGCACGGGCUGGAAAACCUCUGACCCACGGCAGGGCCCCGCCGCUGCGUCCCGUGGGCUGGGAGCGAAGUUUUGGAGGUGAAUCCCGACUCCUGGCGAAGACGGAGGCGCAGCGGCGGGGAAUCGCCGUCCGACGGCGCAAGCCCUCAGCACGCCUGGCUCAGGGACGCACGCAGCCUGGCCCGGCCCGAGCAGCGUGUGCCCUCGGUCCCGAGUGACACGGAAAAUAAACCUGCUACCAGCCGUUAGGAGAUGAGACA